AUAUAUAUAUACGUGUGUGUGUAUGUGCAUGUGUAUAUAUACAUACAUAUAUAUAUACACACAUACACAGAGA
rnacentral:miRNA from 1 species